CUCUGGAGUCCAGGGGUGGAGAGAGGGCUCCCAUGAGUCCACUUGUGUUAUUAGAGAGUCAGGGCCUUGGCUCUCCCCAUGACGCCGUGGCUCUGGCUGCCUAGUAAAGAGACCUGGAAGCUGGGGCACAAGUGGGGAGCGUUGUUUUCACAAGGCUAAUUAACCAAAUGUGUUUUCCUCUCUUGUGUCUGUGUUUUCACAUUAGGUUUUGCUGCAAAGAGGAUAUUAGAGCUAAUUAGACUCACAGCUUUGGACGGAUCUCUGAAUAACCAAUAAGUUAUCUCUUAUGGAAACGUACUAGCCAGCACAGCCAUCCUCUGCCUUAAUCGCAUGUCUCUGCAGCCCAUAAGGUACUAAGGCUCCCACGUUAGAAGAUUUGCAGUCGACUGGAGACAGAAUUCUAGGACACCUUUCCAUCUGCUGCAGGAAAGCUUUCCACGACUCAGUGGAGGCUGGACUCUCACUGCUCUUCAUCACGAGCUCUUGCCUCAGGCAGUUUCUGGCUUGGAGGACAUUUUGCUCAAAUUCUCUGCAAACUACCUGCAACUGUGGCUCCUUGGAAAGCAUGGUGCCCUGAAAGAAUCAGGAUGAAAGGGAGCAUCACAGGGCAGUGGGUGCCAGGUGUGUGAAGACUGAGCAUGGGCCACCCCUCAGGAGGGACAGUCAAGCAGAGGAGAGAAGUCUACUCACACGGAGACAGACAUACUUGGCUGGUGGCUAUGUUGAAGGGCUCGGGGGGAAGAGGGGCUGCCAGGAAUGGCUUGGCUGAGGGACUCUGAGAC
rnacentral:lncRNA from 10 species